GCAGUGGUGUCCAAGUGGUUAAGGGAUUUAACUCGAAAUCAAAUGGGCUCUGCCCGGGUAGGUGCGAAUCCUACCCGUUGUA
rnacentral:tRNA from 1 species